rnacentral:rRNA from 1 species
AUUGAACGCUGGCGGCAUGCCUUACACAUGCAAGUCGAACGGCAGCACGGGAGCAAUCCUGGUGGCGAGUGGCGAACGGGUGAGUAAUAUAUCGGAACGUGCCCGGUCGUGGGGGAUAACGUAGCGAAAGCUACGCUAAUACCGCAUACGAUCUACGGAUGAAAGCGGGGGAUCGCAAGACCUCGCGCGAUUGGAGCGGCCGAUAUCAGAUUAGGUAGUUGGUGAGGUAAAGGACUCACCAAGCCGACGAUCUGUAGCUGGUCUGAGAGGACGACCAGCCACACUGGGACUGAGACACGGCCCAGACUCCUACGGGAGGCAGCAGUGGGGAAUUUUGGACAAUGGGCGCAAGCCUGAUCCAGCAAUGCCGCGUGCAGGAUGAAGGCCUC